rnacentral:rRNA from 1 species
GAUGAACGCUGGCGGCGUGCCUAAUACAUGCAAGUCGAACGCUUUGUGGUUCAACUGAUUUGAAGAGCUUGCUCAGAUAUGACGAUGGACAUUGCAAAGAGUGGCGAACGGGUGAGUAACACGUGGGAAACCUACCUCUUAGCAGGGGAUAACAUUUGGAAACAGAUGCUAAUACCGUAUAACAAUGACAACCGCAUGGUUGUUAUUUAAAAGAUGGUUCUGCUAUCACUAAGAGAUGGUCCCGCGGUGCAUUAGCUAGUUGGUAAGGUAAUGGCUUACCAAGGCGAUGAUGCAUAGCCGAGUUGAGAGACUGAUCGGCCACAAUGGGACUGAGACACGGCCCAUACUCCUACGGGAGGCAGCAGUAGGGAAUCUUCCACAAUGGGCGAAAGCCUGAUGGAGCAACGCCGCGUGUGUGAUGAAGGGUUUCGGCUCGUAAAACACUGUUGUAAGAGAAGAAUGACAUUGAGAGUAACUGUUCAAUGUGUGACGGUAUCUUACCAGAAAGGAACGGCUAAAUACGUGCCAGCAGCCGCGGUAAUACGUAUGUUCCAAGCGUUAUCCGGAUUUAUUGGGCGUAAAGCGAGCGCAGACGGUUAUUUAAGUCUGAAGUGAAAGCCCUCAGCUCAACUGAGGAAUUGCUUUGGAAACUGGAUGACUUGAGUGCAGUAGAGGAAAGUGGAACUCCAUGUGUAGCGGUGAAAUGCGUAGAUAUAUGGAAGAACACCAGUGGCGAAGGCGGCUUUCUGGACUGUAACUGACGUUGAGGCUCGAAAGUGCGGGUAGCAAACAGGAUUAGAUACCCUGGUAGUCCACACCGUAAACGAUGAGUGCUAGGUGUUUGUGGGUUUCCGCCCUUAAGUGCCGCAGCUAACGCAUUAAGCACUCCGCCUGGGGAGUACGACCGCAAGGUUGAAACUCAAAGGAAUUGACGGGGACCCGCACAAGCGGUGGAGCAUGUGGUUUAAUUCGAAGCAACGCGAAGAACCUUACCAGGUCUUGACAUCCCUUGACAACUCCAGAGAUGGAGCGUUCCCUUCGGGGACAAGGUGACAGGUGGUGCAUGGUUGUCGUCAGCUCGUGUCGUGAGAUGUUGGGUUAAGUCCCGCAACGAGCGCAACCCUUAUUACUAGUUGCCAGCAUUCAGUUGGGCACUCUAGUGAGACUGCCGGUGACAAACCGGAGGAAGGUGGGGAUGACGUCAAAUCAUCAUGCCCCUUAUGACCUGGGCUACACACGUGCUACAAUGGCGUAUACAACGAGUUGCCAACCCGCGAGGGUGAGCUAAUCUCUUAAAGUACGUCUCAGUUCGGAUUGUAGGCUGCAACUCGCCUACAUGAAGUCGGAAUCGCUAGUAAUCGCGGAUCAGCACGCCGCGGUGAAUACGUUCCCGGGUCUUGUACACACCGCCCGUCACACCAUGAGAGUUUGUAACACCCAAAGCCGGUGGGGUAACCUUCGGGAGCCAGCCGUCUAAGGUGGGACAGAUGAUUAGGGUG